CCUACGGGUGGCAGCAGUGGGGAAUAUUGCACAAUGGGGGAAACCCUGAUGCAGCGACGCCGCGUGAAGGAAGAAGGAGUGCGGGAUGUAAACUUCUAUCAGCAGGGAAGAAAAUGACGGUACCUGACUAAGAAGCCACGGCUAACUACGUGCCAGCAGCCGCGGUAAUACGAAGGGGGCAAGCGUUAUCCGGAUUUACUGGGUGUCAAGGGAGCGUAGGCGGUUUAGCAAGUCAGAAGUGAAAGCCCGGGGCUCCGCUCCGGGACUGCUUUUGAAACUGUUGAACUAGAUUGCAGGAGAGGUCAGUGGAAUUCCUAGUGUAGCGGUGACAUGCGUAGAUAUUAGGCGGAACACCCGUGGCGCCGGCGUCUUACUGGACUGUAACUGCCGCUGCGGCUCGACAGCGUG
rnacentral:rRNA from 1 species